rnacentral:tRNA from 1 species
GUUUUAAUAGUUUAAAAUAAACAAAAUUAUGAUCUUGUAAAUCAUAGAUGGUCAUAUAACCUUAAAACU